UUAAGCGACUAAGCGUACACGGUGGAUGCCCUGGCAGUCAGAGGCGAUGAAGGGCGUGCUAAUCUGCGAUAAGCGCCGGUAAGGUGAUAUGAACCGUUAUAACCGGCGAUACCCGAAUGGGGAAACCCAGUGUGAUUCGUCACACUAUCAUUAACUGAAUCCAUAGGUUAAUGAGGCGAACCGGGGGAACUGAAACAUCUAAGUACCCCGAGGAAAAGAAAUCAACCGAGAUUCCCCCAGUAGCGGCGAGCGAACGGGGAGGAGCCCAGAGCCUGAAUCAGCAUGUGUGUUAGUGGAAGCGUCUGGAAAGGCGCGCGAUACAGGGUGACAGCCCCGUACACAAAAGCGCAUGUGCUGUGAGCUCGAUGAGUAGGGCGGGACACGUGGUAUCCUGUCUGAAUAUGGGGGGACCAUCCUCCAAGGCUAAAUACUCCUGACUGACCGAUAGUGAACCAGUACCGUGAGGGAAAGGCGAAAAGAACCCCGGCGAGGGGAGUGAAAAAGAACCUGAAACCGUGUACGUACAAGCAGUGGGAGCACAGGUUUACCUGUGUGACUGCGUACCUUUUGUAUAAUGGGUCAGCGACUUAUAUUCUGUAGCAAGGUUAACCGUAUAGGGGAGCCGUAGGGAAACCGAGUCUUAACCGGGCGUUAAGUUGCAGGGUAUAGACCCGAAACCCGGUGAUCUAGCCAUGGGCAGGUUGAAGGUUGGGUAACACUAACUGGAGGACCGAACCGACUAAUGUUGAAAAAUUAGCGGAUGACCUGUGGCUGGGGGUGAAAGGCCAAUCAAACCGGGAGAUAGCUGGUUCUCCCCGAAAGCUAUUUAGGUAGCGCCUCGUGAAUUCAUCUCCGGGGGUAGAGCACUGUUUCGGCUAGGGGGCCAUCCCGGCUUACCAACCCGAUGCAAACUGCGAAUACCGGAGAAUGUUAUCACGGGAGACACACGGCGGGUGCUAACGUCCGUCGUGAAGAGGGAAACAACCCAGACCGCCAGCUAAGGUCCCAAAGUCAUGGUUAAGUGGGAAACGAUGUGGGAAGGCCCAGACAGCCAGGAUGUUGGCUUAGAAGCAGCCAUCAUUUAAAGAAAGCGUAAUAGCUCACUGGUCGAGUCGGCCUGCGCGGAAGAUGUAACGGGGCUAAACCAUGCACCGAAGCUGCGGCAGCGAACGUAUCACCCAAGACAACUUUACGGAGUUGACGAUUGACGGAGCGAAGCGACGUCAAAGCGUUCAUUAAAGUCGAGUUGGCUUAGGGAUACGUUCGUUGGGUAGGGGAGCGUUCUGUAAGCCUGUGAAGGUGUGUCGUGAGGCAUGCUGGAGGUAUCAGAAGUGCGAAUGCUGACAUAAGUAACGAUAAAGCGGGUGAAAAGCCCGCUCGCCGGAAGACCAAGGGUUCCUGUCCAACGUUAAUCGGGGCAGGGUGAGUCGACCCCUAAGGCGAGGCCGAAAGGCGUAGUCGAUGGGAAACGGGUUAAUAUUCCCGUACUUGGUGUUACUGCGAAGGGGGGACGGAGAAGGCUAUGUUGGCCGGGCGACGGUUGUCCCGGUUUAAGCGUGUAGGUGUGUGUUCCAGGUAAAUCCGGUUCACUUUAACACUGAGGCGUGACGACGAGGCACUACGGUGCUGAAGCAACAAAUGCCCUGCUUCCAGGAAAAGCCUCUAAGCAUCAGGUAACACGAAAUCGUACCCCAAACCGACACAGGUGGUCAGGUAGAGAAUACCAAGGCGCUUGAGAGAACUCGGGUGAAGGAACUAGGCAAAAUGGUGCCGUAACUUCGGGAGAAGGCACGCUGACACGUAGGUGAAGUGAUUUACUCAUGGAGCUGAAGUCAGUCGAAGAUACCAGCUGGCUGCAACUGUUUAUUAAAAACACAGCACUGUGCAAACACGAAAGUGGACGUAUACGGUGUGACGCCUGCCCGGUGCCGGAAGGUUAAUUGAUGGGGUCAGCGUAAGCGAAGCUCCUGAUCGAAGCCCCGGUAAACGGCGGCCGUAACUAUAACGGUCCUAAGGUAGCGAAAUUCCUUGUCGGGUAAGUUCCGACCUGCACGAAUGGCGUAAUGAUGGCCAGGCUGUCUCCACCCGAGACUCAGUGAAAUUGAACUCGCUGUGAAGAUGCAGUGUACCCGCGGCAAGACGGAAAGACCCCGUGAACCUUUACUAUAGCUUGACACUGAACAUUGAGCCUUGAUGUGUAGGAUAGGUGGGAGGCUUUGAAGUGUGGACGCCAGUCUGCAUGGAGCCGACCUUGAAAUACCACCCUUUAAUGUUUGAUGUUCUAACGUGGACCCGUAAUCCGGGUUGCGGACAGUGUCUGGUGGGUAGUUUGACUGGGGCGGUCUCCUCCUAAAGAGUAACGGAGGAGCACGAAGGUUGGCUAAUCCUGGUCGGACAUCAGGAGGUUAGUGCAAUGGCAUAAGCCAGCUUGACUGCGAGCGUGACGGCGCGAGCAGGUGCGAAAGCAGGUCAUAGUGAUCCGGUGGUUCUGAAUGGAAGGGCCAUCGCUCAACGGAUAAAAGGUACUCCGGGGAUAACAGGCUGAUACCGCCCAAGAGUUCAUAUCGACGGCGGUGUUUGGCACCUCGAUGUCGGCUCAUCACAUCCUGGGGCUGAAGUAGGUCCCAAGGGUAUGGCUGUUCGCCAUUUAAAGUGGUACGCGAGCUGGGUUUAGAACGUCGUGAGACAGUUCGGUCCCUAUCUGCCGUGGGCGCUGGAGAACUGAGGGGGGCUGCUCCUAGUACGAGAGGACCGGAGUGGACGCAUCACUGGUGUUCGGGUUGUCAUGCCAAUGGCACUGCCCGGUAGCUAAAUGCGGAAGAGAUAAGUGCUGAAAGCAUCUAAGCACGAAACUUGCCCCGAGAUGAGUUCUCCCUGAGACUUAGAGUCUCCUGAAGGAACGUUGAAGACGACGACGUUGAUAGGCCGGGUGUGUAAGCGCAGCGAUGCGUUGAGCUAACCGGUACUAAUGAACCGUGAGGCUUAACCUU
rnacentral:rRNA from 1 species